UACGUAGGGUGCAAGCGUUGUCCGGAAUUAUUGGGCGUAAAGAGCUCGUAGGUGGCGGGUCACGUCGGGUGUGAAAGCCCGGGGCUUAACCCCGGGUCUGCAUUCGAUACGGGUCUGCUGGGGUCCGGCAGGGGAGACUGGGAAUUCCUGGUGUAGCGGUGAAAUGCGCAGAUAUCAGGAGGAACACCAAUGGCGAAGGCAGAUCUCUGGGCCGUAACUGACGCUGAGGAGCGAAAGCGUGGGGAUCAAACAGG
rnacentral:rRNA from 1 species